rnacentral:rRNA from 1 species
AGGACGAACGCUGGCGGCGCGCUUAACACAUGCAAGUCGAGCGGAAAGGCCCUUCGGGGUACUCGAGCGGCGAACGGGUGAGUAACACGUGAGCAACCUGCCCCUGGCUCUGGGAUAGCCUCCGGAAACGGGGAUUAAUACCGGACAUGACCCUUGACCGCAUGGUUGGGGGUGGAAAGUUUUUCGGCCAGGGUGGGGCUCGCGGCCUAUCAGCUUGGUUGGGGGGGUGACGGCCCACCAAGGCGACGACGGGUAGCC